UUCCUUAUCCACUCAAAUAUAAGUAAGAAGAAAGUGCAUCCCUUUGUGUUUCUGUGUUUGUAUGAUGUGUGCAUCUCUUUGAUUUUAGUUUUGCAGGCUCGAUUGUUCUUAUUAUCAUUUUUCGUUUUAGAGUUUUGUGAAAUUGCUGAGCUUUUUUUGUUUAAAACCAUCCCACUUUUUUGUACAGGUUUAUUUAUUUAUUUAUUUUAUUUCAUAGAUUCCAUGUUUCUAACUUUAUAGGUUGUCUUUGAACCCAUAUAGGCAUUGGUCGAGAUGAAAAUGGAAUAUUGAUUUAUGUGAUGAGAUAUUUGCUGAAAGUAUGAUUAUAAUCUCCUUUAUAUGUAACUAUGAGGAGUAAUACAAAUAUUAGGUGGUUUUAUGGUUCUAAUGGAUUGUAAAAUCAUUUUGUAAUGUAUAUGAGAAGACGAAUAGGUCUAGACCAUAUAAACAUUUGAAUCCUGGUGCGAGGAGGAGUGGGCUAUAGUUGGCUGUCGGAACAUAUAAUAAUUUAUCAACACUCGUAUGACUUCAAGAUAUAAAGUCGAUAAUUCAAUCAGAUCAUUUGUACUACUAUGGUAAAACUUCAAUGAUCCCUUCACAUUCCUUUCAAUUCUACUUCUUUAAUUCAAGAAUGUUUGAGAAUUAAUACUUCCUUUUUCUAAUCUAAUGUUCAUUUUCGUUAACCUUUUUGACCCAAGUUUUCAUUAUUAAUUAUUGUUUUAUUUUUUGACACACUACUGGAAAACAGGCUAUACAGUACACCCACAUCUAAUACGGUUGUAAAUAAAAACCGUAUUAGAAAGGGCUAAAUAAAUAUAAUACGCCCAAUUACAACAUCUAAUACGGUUAAUGUGCUGUACUAGAAACAAGAUCAAAUACCUAAAUAAAAUACGCCACAUUUUGGAAUAAAGUACAGCUCAAUACCUAAAUUGAAUACGCUGAAUAAGUACUCAGCUUCCUCAACUUACAACAUCUAGUACUCAGCUUCCUCCUCCUACACUUCUCCGCCCAACCCAACACCUUAACACCACCCUUCCUCCAUCUCUACACCACUAAUCGGUCCUUUAUCUCUAUCUCCCCUGUCGCAACACCAUCAUCACCGGCUAGCCUCGCCUCGCACCUCCAAUAAUUCAACCAACCCACCACCGGACCAUCAUCAUCAUACGGCAAGAGCUUUGAUUUCUGUUUUUGCAACAGACAAACACAGGCAAAAAUACAAGGAACUACAACUAUUUCUCGAUGGAUAAGGGAGCGUCUGUGAUCGAGAUGCAAAAUCAAAUGGUGUAUCAUGAAACUUGGAUGUAUGGACUACCAUGGGCUAGCAGUGAAUAUGUACAUAACCUCAAGAAGUUUCUUAAAGUUGUUGAGGAUCGUUGGGUGCAUAGAGGAGAAUGUUACAUUUGGUGUCCUUGUAAAAUGUACCAAAAUUGUAAAAAGGUCUAUGAUUUGGAUGUAAUAGAAGAAUAUAUGAUAUUUGAAGGAUUUAUGAAUCGAUAUACGUGUUGAUCACAACAUGGCGAGUUAUUGAUUGAUCACAACACAAUUGAUGUCGAAUCUAAUUAUGAUGAUACAGAUGAUUCAGAGGAUGACAUCCAUGAUAACCUACCUCCAUUUUCUAUCGGUAUUCCAUCUAUGAAUGUUGAUAUUAAUGACGCUGCUUACUUAAGAUCGGAUCAUAACGAAGGAUCAUAUGUUGAAGAAAGCAACACAGACGACACGACACUGGAGGACAAUAACAGUGAUAAUUGUAGUUGAGGUUCUUCAUGGGGAGAUUUACUAUGAUUGCAUUAUGAAAAACUUGUGUAGUAUCAACAUGAUGCGAGGAUAAAAACUAUGUUGAGUUUUUAAUGUUUAUGUCACAUGUAAUAUGUUCUAUAUUAUACAAAGUCAUGUUUUAGUGAUGAACAUUAAUCUUUGUUCAUCACUAAAUGCUCAAUUGCUCAUCACCUUCAUUUCCCCUUCUUCCUUUUAUGAAUUCAGAGAGAAAAAUAUAAUAUUGAUAUAAUUAUUUGAUAAAUAUAUUUAAUUAUUUUACUUUUUAAUAUGUUCAUUUUAAUUUUUAAUAUGUUCAUUUUGGUUCGGCAUCAAUUUUUUUCACAUGAUAUUAAUAUAUUGAAAUUGCAAUUACAUUCCCUUUUAUUAAACAAGAAACAAAAGAAAAAAAAAUAGAAUUUUUUUUGUCCUUUUUACAUAUAUAUGAACGUGAAUCCCAUUUUUCUUUUAUAUGGAUUUGUAUAUUGAAGGGGCCCAUCAGUAGCCCAUAUGAGCACAUAUUCAAUUCAUCAUCGGUCAAAAGUAAAAAUUGCAAACUUAACAAAAUUGACCCAAAAGUCAAAAUUGCAAUUAGGUUCCCUUUUGCGUGUACUUGUUUGAUUAUCACGAGAACGACGAAGCCUUCGCCUUCAGCCGACGACGCCUCCGCAUCCGCCUCUAGCCAACGACGCCUCUACCUCCGGUCUUCGGUCGAAGACACAGACGAAGUCUCCUACUCCGCCCUACAGCUGCUUCCGCCUCCUCCUUUCACGUUGUUUACAGGGACCUCAGAUAACAAAAGGGAACUUGUUAGUCUCGCUGUUAUGAUGUUAGAUUUGAUGAUGCCAUGUUGGUAGUUUAGGCUGUCAGUUUGAGCAGCACUGCAACCAGGUUGGCACUUGAGGUUUCCUUUAUUAAAUCGGGUAUGAAAUUAUCACAUUUUUUAUUCCCUUGUGAAAUGAUUCUGUUUGUGUUAUGAUACAAAUUAUCCCCAGGUUGAACAUCAUCAAUUCCAAUUGAGAAUCCACCGAGUACUGCAUCAAAAUAAUCUCAUCAUACACUUUCACCAAACAUCUAUUCAGAGCUCACAACUUCUCCUAUAACAGCAGCCUCACUUGGGCAGGAACUUAGGAUUGGCUCUUCGACGUUUUCCUCAGGACCAACAGAUUCAGAGACUAUUCCAAUCUCAUACGUAUAUAAUCCUUUUAGUGCAAUCAACAAUUGUCUGAUUGGAGUGUGGUUACUACGUUAUGAACUGGAUGCAUGAGUUUGUACUUUUUCGACAACAUGGAUUUCCGAAUAACAUUUGGAAGGACAAAAAACCAUUUUCUAGUGAGGAAUUGGAUGAACGUGUUAAAACAUGGAUGAGAACUUUUGGAGAUAAAGUGAAGUCUUUUUCAAGUUAACGGUUAGUUGUUCUAUAUACAUUGUUAUAAUUGGUUAUGUUUUUCAAAAAACCAUUUUCUAGUGAGGAAUUGGACGAAAGUUUUUUUUAUGGAAAAUGUGAUAUAUAAAAGUAGGAUGCUAUAUUUUGUGUUUUAUUGUGGAAGUUUGCAGAUUUCAAGUUAAGGAGGUUGCUGUUAUGGAGGUACACAAACAUCCCUUGUAUUUCAUGUUGUAUUUGCUCAUAUUUUUUAUGUUGUGGAGAAGUUUUCACCCUUACAUUGCUAUAGAUGAAGGUGUUAAUGGCAGGAAUGUCCAAUAAUUUGAGUUUUCUUCAUUAAAAGUUAUUUAAGAUUUUGAAUCCUAAGUUUUCUUGUUUUUGUAGGCAUACACUGAAUUAGCCACAAAGGGGAAAGAGAGGUCAGAUGUGUGACAUUAACAAAUUUAAGAAUGUUUUUAUGUUUAAUGAACUAGGUAUACAACUUUUAGAUUGUAUAGAUUGUAGUAUGAAAGAAUAUUAAUGUUUUUAUGUUUAAUGAACUAAAUAGUUAUUGUAAUUUUUUUUUUCUGUUUUUUAAAAUUAAAACAUGAUCAGUGAUGCCCCACUUCUUAUGGUUGGAAUGGAAUCAUAUAGUAGGUUUGUAUUUUAUGGAGAUUGAUCAAUUGGUUACAAUUCACAUGCUAAAAGCUUUGCAGAAAUUAAAGAGUUUCUUUUAGUUAGAAUAGUUGGAAUGGUGAUCCAUGUGUUCCACAGCAUCCAUGAAGUGGAAUUGGUUGAUUAAUAAGGCUGGAAUGCAAAGCCAGAAUGGGCUGGAAAGUCUGGAAUGCAAAGCUAGGAAUAGGAAUGAAUAAGACAUCAAGUACAGUUGUUUAUUGGUGUAUUAGAUGUGUAUAUAUGGCGUAUUAGAUGAUACUUGAGACAUCAAGUACGGUUGUUUUGGUGUAUUAGAUGUUUAUAUAUGGUGUACUAGAUGAUUGUAUGUAAUGAUUGUAUGGGAUGGUAUAAGAUACAUAUAAUACGGUUAAAUAGCCGUACUUUAUUAUGCA